GACGAACGCUGGCGGCGUGCUUAACACAUGCAAGUCGAGGGCACUAUUGGGGCAACCCGGUAGUGACCGGCGAACGGGUGCGUAACACGUGAGCGACCUUGCCUCGUGGUGGGGGAUAGCCGGCCCAACGGCCGGGUAAUACCGCAUAUGGUGCUGUCUUCGCAUGGAGACGGUAGCAAAGCUGUGUCGCAAGACAUGGCGCCAC
rnacentral:rRNA from 1 species